rnacentral:lncRNA from 1 species
UUUUAGCCCCACUUGGAGACCUCUGAGGAGGGGAGAGGUGCUGGCGUUGAAUUAAGCAUUAAGGCCAAUGAUAUAAUCAGUCAUGCCUACACAAUGAAGCCUCCAUAAAAAUCCCUCAACUAUGGGGUUCAGAGAGCUUCCAGAUCAGGAAACUGAAGCUUAGAGAAUGUAAACAACCAUCUAUGAACACAGAUCUUCCUGGCUGUGGUGUCCUUGCUACCGGACAAUAUCUUUCAAUGUAAAUUUUUUCCAGUUUUUUUCUUAAGAAGUAUCGGAACAUAGAGCCCAGCAGUAUUAAUGAAACUUUAUUGUGCUUACUCUAUGCCAGGCACAAGCAUCACCUCAAUCUUCCCAAUAAUUCUCUGAGAUAUUUGACUGAUGACUGAGUACCCAGAAGAGAGCCUUCGUCAGGUCAAGACUUCAGGACCUGAUGAAGCUGAGAUUGCAAGACACUGCACAAUGGGACCUUUCUAGACUGCACAGACCGCUCAGGAACCAAUCCUCUUGACCUGAUGAAGCUCAGAAUAAUGAGUACAUUUUCAAAAGCAUGCUGUUUACCGAAGCAAAGAGCAAUUUUAUAAAAUCCUACAAAAUUUCAAUGUAAAACCACCAUGAGAAACCAGAAGAAACCAAAUUUUGAGAGAACCACC